GGUCUCACUGAUUCCUCCUUCCUGAUGAACCGUAAUGCCAUUAAUUUGGUGUUGCGGGGAAUUUGGACUGUUACUUUGAAAAAAUUAGAGUGUUUAAAGCAAGCUAACGCUUGAAUACAUUAGCAUGGAAUAAUAGAAUAGGACGGCAUGGUUCUAUUUUGUUGGUUUCUAGGAUCACCGUAAUGAUUAA
rnacentral:rRNA from 1 species